GCGGGCGUAGCCAAGUGGUAAGGCAGUGGGUUGUGGCUCCACUAUUCGCGGGUUCGAACCCCGUCGUUCGCC
rnacentral:tRNA from 1 species